UUGACCUCAAAUCAGGUAGGACUACCCGCUGAACUUAAGCAUAUCAAUAAGCGGAGGAAAAGAAACUAACAAGGAUUCCCCUAGUAACUGCGAGUGAAGCGGGAAAAGCUCAAAUUUGAAAUCUGGCAGUCUUUUUUUUCCUUCCUUUGGCUGUCCGAGUUGUAAUCUAGAGAAGUGCUUACCUGCACUGGACC
rnacentral:rRNA from 1 species